ensembl:lncRNA
AAAAAAAACAUUAAGCAAUUAAGCAAUUAAACAAUUUAUAUGAUAUGAUUUUAAAGAAAUCGGACAAAAUAUUAAGGCCAAGUCGAUAUAUGUAUAUAUGUUCAUUAAUUAACUUUUUUAAAACAACAGACAGCAUUAUAAAACUUAACUACGCUUACAUUAAUCACUCCGGUUCUAUUUUGCAGAUACACAAAAAACAUAAUAAAUUAAUUUUGAACAAUUGCUCGAAUAAUAAAACAGUUAAUACCUAUUUAUGUAAAAUACAUAAGAAAUAUAAAAUGAAUAAAAAAGUUUUUAAUUCUAUAAAUAUGAAUAUAGAUAAUGAAAAUGAAAAUUUGUUAAAUGAUAAAAACAUAAAUUCAUUUAAUAAAAAUUUUAAUGAUAUAAAGGGUGCUAGAAAUUUUAAUCAACUUAGGAACUCUGCAUUUGGUAAACAGUAUAACACAAAUCAAAGCAAUGACAAUAGUAAUAAUAAUAACUUAAUAAACAAUAGUUUCGGUAGCAACAAGAAUAAGAACAAGGUACAUAACAGUUCUAUGAACAGUGGUAAUAAUAACAAUAAGUAUGCCAAUAAUAGUAAUAGCAAUAAUCCGAACUUUAAUCCGAAUUUUUCGAGUUGUUUUAAUAGAGAAAAUAAUAACAAAAACAAUGAUGUCAAUUAUUCAAUGAAUGAAACAAAAACAAAUACAAAUGCAAGUUUCGUUAAUACCCAAAUGAAGGAUAAUAAACACUACACUACGAAUAACGAACAAAUGACGCAUACAAAUGAUAAUAAAAUGAUGAAUUAUGGUUUAAAAAUGAACAACUAUAGUAAGGAGAAAAAUAUGUACAAUAACAACGGCUUCAUUUCGAACAGUGUUAAUAGUAACAAUAAUAAUAAUAAUAAUAAUAAUAAUAAUAAUAAUAAUAAUAAUAAUAACAGUACCAUUGGUAGUAAUUAUAAUAAUGUCAAACCUAAUGACUAUUACUAUGAUACAUCAUUAAAAAAUAUGAAUUAUAAAAACAAUUAUAAUGAAAAAGGAAAAAACUCUGAAAAUUUAAAUAACAGUAACAGCAAUUAUGCUAAAGCAAGUGAUCGAUUUAUACAUUUGGACGAUAACUAUCAGAAAAAUAUGAAAUACAAUAUGAAAAACAGUUUCAAUUCGAAUAAAAAAAAGGGUUUCUCUACAUAUAAUUUAAAUAACAGUAGUAGUAAUAACAAUAAUAGCAACAACAUUAGUAAUAACUUAUUUAAGAAAAAUAAUGAAAAUGCAAAUUAUACGCAGAAAAAUUUUAAAAGUAGAACAUCAGAAGAUAUAAUGAUGAUGAAUAACAACCCCAAUGCUAUGGAAUUAAAUAAGAAUUAUGGUAAAGCUGUAGGCUCAAGUAUAAACUUAGUAGAUAGAAAUAACAAUGUAGUAAAUUCUAAAGACACAUUUAAUAACAAAAUGACUGAUAACUUAACCGUCGUUAGUAAUCAAAAUGUGAAUAAUCGUAAUAACAAUACCAUGAGCAACACACCUAACUUAAAUAAUUUAAUGAAUAAUAAAGAUGUUAAUAUGACAAAUGAAAAAUAUGAAAAUAUAACAUAUGAUACGAAUAGUAUGUACGAAAAUUCAAAUAAUGUUAAAGGUUUAAUGGACAAUUCUCAAGUGUAUAAUAGUAAUAGGAAUAGAAAUAACAUAGCGUCAUAUGGUAAUUAUAAUAAUAGUAGUAAUAAUAACAGUAUGAAUAAUGCUGCAAAUAUUGUUAAUACCAAUGCACACAGUAUUAAAAGUGAUAACUUUCGUAUGAGCAAUAUGAACAAUGUUGAAUAUGGGGGGAAAAUGAUACUAGAAAACGAAAAAGGAAGCAACAAUAUAAUGAAUAAAAAUGUAAGAAAUGUCACAUAUGAUAACAAAGCAAAUAAUUAUAAUAAUGACUUUGUUAAUACUGAAGAUGAACAAUUCACAAAUUAUUCUGCUUCGAACAUUUUAAAAAAUGUGAAUAAUAUGAGCAGCGUAAAUAAUAUGAGUAGUUCUAUCAAUGUAAGUAGCCACAAUAAUUUAAAUAAGAUGAGAAACGCUAGUAAUGUAAAUGAAAUAGGCAACAACAUGGGAAGCAACAUGGGUAGCAACAUGGGCAGCAGCAUGGGCAGCAGCAUGGGCAGCAACAUGGGCAGCAACAUGGGCAGCAACAUGACCAACAACAUAACCAACAACAUGACCAACAACAUAACCAACAACAUGACCAACAACAUAACCAACAACAUGACCAACAACAUGACCAACAACAUAAACAGAAGAGAAAGCUCAAACAACAUGAAUAAAAAUAGUAACAAUAGUUUCAGCAAUAAUAAUAAUAAUAAUAAACAAGAAGAAGAGUACACUACUGGAAUGAACUUAAAUAAACAGAAAUCGAACAGUAUGAGUUCCACUUCUUCCUCUUCAUGUUCCAUAAAUUUAGAGUCCGAUGCUUUUAUGUUUUACGACUUUAGUGAUUUUUUUAAUUAUAUGUAUAAAGAUGAAAAUAUAUUGACUCUUUUUUUUAUUAGAAAGAAUUAUUUAAAAGCAGAAUCUAAAGAAGAAUUUAGUUAUGAAAAUAAUAAAAUAAAAUGUUCUAUUACUUGGUCAUUUCCAAAUGAUGAAAAGAUAACUGUUUUUGGAUUACAUACUAAUAAAAAAUUAAGUAAGAAAGCAUGUGUAAAAAAUAUUUUAUUAAAAUUGAAAAAUAUAUCUGUUUUAGAGUUAGAUCAAAUGACUAAAUGGAUGAUAAAUUCUCUUAAUGUUAUAUUAAAAGUUGAACAUAAAAAUGUAGAAAAUACAUUAAAUACUGCUAAUAAUAUGUAUUGUAGUAACAUGGAAUGGAAAAUAAAUAAUAAAGUAUAUCAAGCAACAGGUGUACAUGCCCAUGAAAAAAUAGCUGAACUCAUUGCUACUCAAAAUAUGUAUGCAAGUUUAUAUAAUCUUAAAGAACAAUUAAUUAAAGAAAAUGAAUUACCCAAAACUUUUGAAGACAACAAAAUGGGAAAUAUGCGAAAAAACAAUAACAACAGUAAUAAUAACAAAAUGUAUGAAAAUACUGUGUUUGCAAAAGCAAUGAAUAAUAGUAGUAAAAAAGGUGGAGAUUCUCAACCAUUGUUUAAUAAAACUGGUAACAAUAUGAUGCAAUUUAAUAUGAACAAUACAAAUAUGCCUAGUGGAAACACACAUAACAAAAACAUGCAAAAUGUUAAUAAUUAUAAUGAAUUUUACAACGCUGCAGAUAACAACAAUGCAUUAUUGCAAAAUAUGGCUUCUAACAUGUACAACAGAAAUAUGAACAACAAUACAAUGAUUAACAAUUUUUCUGUGAAUAAUGCCAUAAUGGGCAAUCCUUCCAUGAACAAUAUGUAUAAUGUAAAUAAUUAUCCAAAUAGUAACAUUCCCCCACCCCCUACUACUAUGAAUAAUACUACAUUUAUACCAGGAAAUAUGCCAACUGGAUUAAACGAUGUGAAUGUUGUAAAUAACGCAAACCCUAAUACAAUUAAUAACAAUCAAGCAAAACCACCAAUUACAAACCCUGCAGACCUAAUACAAUACAGCCUAACCAAACAAGAUUCCAGCGGUAUACAGAUGUUAAGAAAUAAUAUCGCAUCUAAAUAUAAAAUUCAACAAACAGAAAACUUUGAACAAGUAUCUAACAUAUUUAGGUGUACAUUAGAAUGGCAAUGGAAGAAUGGAAAAAUAACAUGUAAAUCUAAAAGUGUUGGUUAUGGAAGUAAUAAAAGUUUAGCAAAAUCGGAAGCUGCAUAUGAUAUGUUGGUGAAAAAUAAUUUAGUUGAGUAUGUUUCAUCAACCGAUAGAAAAAGUGCUCAAUUUAUAAAAGACCUUAUAUCAGUAGAUUUGCCAAAAGCGUUAAAUUUGGGUAUUCAAUAUAUAAAACAAUAUAGUAGUAACGGUUGGUCUAUUUUUGUGGUUCUUUUGUUAAGAGAAUUAUUAAUAGAACGUAACUUCGACAAUAUAAAUAGGUUGCUAAGUACAAUUGUAGAGGUAAGUAAAGAAGGUAGAAUAGAAUCGGAGAAAAUAAAUAAGUUAAUCAAUGCUAAUAAUGGUGUGGGUACUAACAGUAUAAAUUCCGUGAGUGGUGGUGGUAGUAGUAGUAGUAGUAAUAGUAUUAAUAGAGAAAACGCCAUGGUGAAUAACACAAACAACAUGGGAAAUUACACAAACACGAAUAUCAGCACAGACACAAACACAAACACAAACACAAACACAAACAUAAACACAAACACAGAAAUGGAACAAUACAUCGACAGCACAAGUAGUUUAUUUUUCUGUAGUCCAUACAUUAAAAACCAAAGCGAAAAUGAUACCACUACUAAUAAUAAUUACAUACACAAAUUAGUAUCAAUAGAGUUAUGGGAAAAACUAAUAGAUGAAUGUGUUAUUAUUUUAAAUGACAAUUUGUGUUAUAAUUGUAUUAACAUAUUAAAAGAUGUAGAAUUAGAUCAUUCAAUUUUUAUUUCCAAAUGUGCACAUGAUUAUUAUAAAAAAUAUCGUAUUAUGUUAGCUUUAGAAUUACAAGCUAACUUAGCACAAAGUAUACAAGAAAAAAGAGAUUAUGAAUAUUUGCAUGAAAAUAAAUCAUUAUUAUUAAAAACAAAAAGUAUCACCAUGCCUAUGUUAUCUUUCUCCUGUACUUUAACAAGUGAAGAAAAAGAAUGGAUGAAGUCAACACAGAUGAGAGAAGAUGAUAUAGUAGUGUUAAAGCCAUGUGAUCUGUUACUAAAAGAUGAAGAUGCUUGGUCUAAUAGUUUAAUAGGUAGUAUAACAAGUACAAAAAGUGAUAAUAUUAUAUUUAAUAUUAAUAUUCGAAUAUUCUCAGCAGAAAAUACGAAAAAAAUAAAUGUAAAAUAUACAAAAUAUAAAUUAUAUUUAUUAUUAAAUAUAGUUACUCAUGAAAGAAUGUUACAAGCUUUAAGAUCUAUCACUUUUAUUAGCUCCAUCCCAACACAGUACCAAUCACCUUAUGUAUUUACCCCUGAAAUACGUUUCUUAAUUUUACAUACCUAUAAUAAACAUGCAAAAUUUGUUGCACAAACAGGAAAAUUAAAUGAACAGUUAGUAGAAAAUGAAAGCAUAAAACUGGAUUUUCAAAAUGCUGAAUUAUCGAAACUAGCACAAGAAGAUGUAUUAUCUGAAUAUAGUAGAUCAAACAAAAACCCUUAUGAAAAUUUACUAAAUGAAUCAUUAAACAAACAAAUUGGUAAAUCAAAUGUUGAAAAUGUUGAUCAAUAUU